AUGGAGGCGGCGACCGCGGAGACGGAGGCGGAGGGCUCGUGCAAUCAGCCUUCGCUGCUCGCCAUUCCCCUCCGAGCCGUGGCCCCCGACACCCCAUUGCCCUUGGCGGAGGAGAUCGUUCAAGACCCGCCGCUGAUGGAGAGGGGGGAGGACCCCGUGGCCUUUGCAAGGAAAACGCCGCCAGCAGCGCCAACCGGAGCGGGCCAAGGCUGCCAAUCGUCGGCGGCGCCAGAGGAGCCGACCGGGGGCGAGCCGGGGAAUAGAGCCGGCCUCAAGGUACAGCCAGCGACGGGCCGACGCGCAGGGGGAGGCGCCGCUCCGUCGGAGUCGCGCCGAGUCGUGGGCGCAUGCCAGUCGACGGAAGAUCUGAAGGCGGCCAGCACCGCCACGUCCGAGUGGACUCCCAGCGGGGGGACUGGCGAGCUGAAUGUGGCGGCUCAAGGGGUCCGGAGCCGGCUGCAAGCUCAGGCCGCCCUGCUGCAACAGUUCACCCAGGAGUUCCUGUCAACGCGAGCCACCAUCCGGGAAUAUCACAACCUCCAUGCUGCCGCCUUCAACUCUCAGGCACGGGAGUUGAGCCGGAGGACCGACGACCUGGCCUACAGCCGAAGGGCCAAUGCUGACUUGAGGAAGGAGCUCGGCGAAGCGAAGGCCGCCCUUCAUACCAAGGAUGCCGAGUACGCUGCCUUGGUCCAGGAGCGUGAUCGCCUGGCCAAGAAGCUGGCCGACCAGGAUAAGAGCCACAAGGCGGCCCUACAGGCGGCGUAG
rnacentral:rRNA from 1 species